ACACUGGAUGUUUCAGUGGACACAACCAGCCUUCAAGAAGCAUGUGGACCUAGAGAAAGCUCUGCCACCUACAUGCCAGCGCAUGUUCAUGCUGAGAACUGCAGGGAAAAAAGAAAUGGCUUAUAUUGACUGACUACCAUCAAUGUGCCAGAGAGGUCUUCUUAUCUCAUCUUAGAGGUGAGAGAACAAGUCAACCCGCUGGUAAAUGGGCCAAUCAGAAAUGAAAUCAGCUCAUCACCAGUUCCAGUCACUUUUCCAUUUUGAAAAGCCUCCUGCAUCAUUCUCUGCACAUAUGCAGCAGAUAUAGACACCCAAGCACACCCCUAAGGAGACAGCCCACUUGGACUCAAGGACAUUCCCUGUGGCAGCUCUCUGAAGACAGAAUUAUUUCUUUGGCAGAGAAAAGCAUGCUGUUCCUUAAGAGGACAUUAGAGGAGAACAACUUUUCUCCCUACUGAACCCUUUGCACAAAUAUCUUCUAGAAGGACUUGUUCCUCACCCACUGGCCCUUGAUUCUGUCUCACUAUUGAAUGAGGCUUUUCCACCAAACAGCUUUAAGGAUGGAUGUGUGCUCUGGAGAGAGCAAGAAACAUGUGAGAGCCGGUUUGCUUUCUGUGGGUCAGCCAACGUCUCCGCCAGUCCUAUGACUGUCAUUUCACUGAGGAUUGAUAUGCCUGAAGUCACUACAAAAACAAAUGAUGCUCUGAAGCUCAUUCCGCCCUUGCACAAAGAAGCCAAAAAAAUAGGGCUCUAAUUUAUUUUAGAAUUGGCAUAAUGAGACAAAAGAGUCCACUGUGGGAAAUUUUUGCUUAUGCAAUGAAA
rnacentral:lncRNA from 1 species